rnacentral:rRNA from 1 species
AGUGAACGCUGGCGGUAGGCCUAACACAUGCAAGUCGAACGGCAGCACAGUAAGAUCUUGCUCUUACGGGUGGCGAGUGGCGGACGGGUGAGGAAUACAUCGGAAUCUACUUUUUCGUGGGGGAUAACGUAGGGAAACUUACGCUAAUACCGCAUACGACCUACGGGUGAAAGCAGGGGAUCUUCGGACCUUGCGCGAUUGAAUUAGCCGAUGUCGGAUUAGCUAGUUGGCGGGGUAAAGGCCCACCAAGGCGACGAUCCGUAGCUGGUCUGAGAGGAUGAUCAGCCACACUGGAACUGAGACACGGUCCAGACUCCUACGGGAGGCAGCAGUGGGGAAUAUUGGACAAUGGGCGAAAGCCUGAUCCAGCCAUACCGCGUGAGUGAAGAAGGCCUUCGGGUUGUAAAGCCCUUUUGUUGGGAAAGAAAAGCAGCAGGUUAAUACCCCGCUGUUCUGACGGUACCCAAAGAAUAAGCACCGGCUAACUUCGUG